UCAAUGCUACAUACUCAUCCC
rnacentral:miRNA from 1 species